rnacentral:rRNA from 1 species
GAUGAACGCUGGCGGCGUGCCUUACACAUGCAAGUCGAGCGAACACACGCGAAGCUUUCUUUUCUGAUGUUAGCCGCGGACGUAUGAGUAACACAUGGACCCCCUACCUAUAGGUCACGGAUCGCAUCCGGUAACCAGAGCUAAUACCGGCUAAUAUUUAGAACCGCAUGCUUCACAAGUGAAAGACGCUUUUGCUGUCUCUUACAGCUGGAUCCGCGUUGCAUUAGCUAGUUGGUAAGGUAAAGGCUUACCAAGGCGACGAUGCGUAGCUGACCUGAGAGGGUGACCAGCCACACUGGAACUGAGACACGGUCCAGACUCCUACGGGAGGCAGCAGUAGGGAAUCUUGCACAAUGGGCGAAAGCCUGACGGAGCAACGCCGCGUGAGGGAUGAAGGUCUUCGGGUCGUAAAACGCUUUUGUCAGGAAAGAAAAGGUGUGCACGAAACUCGGCCGAUAAUGACGGUACCUGAAGAGAAAGCACCGGCUAACUACGUG